CGGCGGACGGGUGAGUAACGCGUGGGUAACCUGCCUCAUACAGGGGGACAACAGUUGGAAACGACUGCUAAUACCGCAUAAGCCCACGGGUCGGCAUCGACCUGAGGGAAAAGGAGCAAUCCGCUUUGAGAUGGCCUCGCGUCCGAUUAGCUAGUUGGUGAGGUAACGGCCCACCAAGGCGACGAUCGGUAGCCGGACUGAGAGGUUGAACGGCCACAUUGGGACUGAGACACGGCCCAG
rnacentral:rRNA from 1 species